rnacentral:lncRNA from 1 species
CUUUUGCUUAUUAACGUUAUCUCUUUUUUAUCUGAGGUUUCUCUAUUUAAAUGUAUGAUAUUGUAAAUUAUCAACAAGUUGUUUUUCAGAUAUCAAAAUUUAUGAGGCUAGUGUUACAGAUAAUUCCGACCGAGAAGCUUUAAGAAAUGGAAGGCUCAGAAAACAAAGCACUGUCGUCAGAAGUAGUUAAAACUUUGAAUGAAGAUUUGAAUAAACUUUCCCUGUCUGAUUCGACACUCACGGAGUUUAAUGAUUGUAUGCAAUCUAUCGUGGCAGUUGACUUUCGAGAAUUAAACCAGGAAGGCCAGAACAGUGAUUCCAAGUCUAAUUUUGACACCGCAGUCAAGCACUUGAUGCGAUUUUCCAACGGAGUUGUCAAAGCUUUAGGAGCAACAGGGAUUUCGCCUGGUCCACUUGGUACUUUGUGUAAAGUCACCACGGGUUUAGUCGGGUUCUUCUUUACAGAAGACAUAACAUCGAUUGUAGCACGACGCUUUGAAAAUAUCCUGGAUGCUGACUUAAUGGCUAAAUGCCGAGCGACAUGCAUAAAGAUCAGUCACUGUAUUAACUACAUGCAAGGGUUACCAAAUGCUAGCAAACUUCGGGAUGAGGAAAAAAAGAUUCAUUUACUGCUAAUGGCCACUGAUGUGCCUGUUCAAACCGGACUAGAUGAAGUUUUAUACUUAGGCGAAAAGAUAAGAAAUAUAGUUAAAACAGCAACAACAAAUAUGAAAAAAUU